rnacentral:rRNA from 1 species
AUGCAGGUUCCGGGCGACGUCGGCGGGGGUGGAGGGGAAGCGGGGGACAUGCGGGGUCGGCACCGGAUCCAGGCCGAGCUCAAGAAGCUCGAGCAAGAAGCACGCUUCCUCGAGGAGGAACUUGACGAGCUAAAUAAGAUGGAUAAGGUGUCAACAGCACUGCAAGAGUUUGUUGUAACAAUUGAAAGCAAAGCAGACCCUCUACUUCCUGUAACUACCGGAGCUGCUUACCAGUCUUGGGAUAGGUGGUUUGAAGGUCCGCAGGAUCUGCGCAGAUGCAAAUGCUGGUUUUUGUGA